rfam:Triticum aestivum genome assembly, contig: Triticum_aestivum_CS42_TGACv1_scaffold_329427_4BS
CAAGUACUCCCUCCGUCCGGAAUUACUUGUCAUCAAAAAGGAUGUGUCUAGAACUAAAAUACAUAUAGAUACAUCCAUUUCAAUGACAAGUAUUUUUGGACGGAGGGAGUACAAG